CGGACGGGUGAGAAUUGUCUGGGAAACUGCCUGAUGGAGGGGGAUAACUACUGGAAACGGUAGCUAAUACCGCAUAACGUCGCAAGACCAAAGAGGGGGACCUUAGGGCCUCUUGCCAUCGGAUGUGCCCAGAUGGGAUUAGCUAGUAGGUGGGGUAACGGCUCACCUAGGCGACGAUCCCUAGCUGGUCUGAGAGGAUGACCAGCCACACUGGAACUGAGACACGGUCCAG
rnacentral:rRNA from 1 species